rnacentral:rRNA from 1 species
GAGUUUGAUCCUGGCUCAGAACGAACGCUGGCGGCGUGCUUAACACAUGCAAGUCAGGGAGAAAGUCUCUUCGGGGAUGAUUAAACCGGCGCACGGGUGAGUAACACGUGAGUGACCUGCCUUUUAGACUGGAACAACUUACCGAAAGGUGAGCUAAUGCCGGAUGAGUUAUAUAAGUGCAUGUUUAUAUAGGAAAAGUUGGGGAGACCUGACGCUGAAAGAUGGACUCGCGUCCCAUUAGCUAGUUGGUAGGGUAAUGGCCUACCAAGGCGACGAUGGGUAGCCGGCCUGAGAGGGUGGCCGGCCACACUGGGAUUGAGACACGGCCCAGACUCCUACGGGAGGCAGCAGUGGGGAAUUUUGCGCAAUGCUCGUAAGAGUGACGCAGCGACGCCGCGUGAAUGACGAAGGCCUUCGGGUCGUAAAGUUCUUUCGACAGGGAAGAAAAUGCCUAUAAGUAACUGUGUAUGUAUUGACGGUACCUGUAUAAGCAGCCCCGGCUAACUCCGUGCCAGCAGCCGCGGUAAUACGGAGGGGGCGAGCGUUGUUCGGAGUGACUGGGCGUAAAGAGCACGUAGGCGGUGUUGUAAGUCAUUAGUCAAAGACUAGAGCUCAACUUUAGUAAGGCUAGUGAUACUAUAAUACUAGAGUAUCAGAGAGGAUUGCAGAAUUCCUGGUGUAGCGGUGAAAUGCGUAGAUAUCAGGAGGAAUACCGUUAGC